UCGUGUGCGUUGACACAACUCUUUGUGUGAAAUACAAAAACUAAAAUGGCGACGUCAGUAGAGUGAUGGAAUUGAGGAAUUUUUUCAAUUGUGUUGAUUUUUUAUAUUCAUAUUCUAUAUAUUGGUGGAUAUUUUAACCCAAUUACAACAAUAAAUCUAAAAACACAAACAAAUAAUACCAAAUAAAUAUAUAUAUCAAACAAUUUCCGUGCAAAUGCCUAAAACAAAAAGUGAAAUAUCUAAAAAGCAAAUAAAAAACCUAUUGAAAAAAAGUGAAAAAAGUUACGCUAAAGAAAAAAUAAAAAUGGCGCCCGCGACGUCUUGACUUUCUUUUUUUUUUUAUAUUGUAUAAAAUCGUUUUUGCAUAAAGAAUUUUACAUUAAUUGUAAAUAUUUCCACGAAAAAAACAUGCUAAAAACACAAUCGACUAAAUUGUGAAAAUCUUAUUCAAUAAAAGAAUAUUGUGUAAAAGUUCAGAGAAAAAUUGUAAAGCAAAAUAAAAGUUGAAAAGCAAAAUUACUGUGGCCGUUGUUUUUUUAAGUUCGUUCAUUUCAGUUUCAUUAUUUUUUUUUAUUUUUCAUUCAUACGUUCGUAUACGUGCGUGUGUGUAAUAUAUUUUUUUAAAAUAAAUAAAAGGCCUUGAGGAUGUGUGCUGCUCAAAGUAAUCCAACACAAAGUUUUGGUCCUUAUGCCUGGGGUUUUGCUGAUAACACUCGAGGUCCCGAGUCCGUACUGGAAAUAUCGCCCAAUAUAAACUACACUGUUAGCAGUGAAUCUCAUUAUAAUUUUCAGAUGCCAUAUUUGUUAUCCACUGAUGGAUCAUUAACAGUGCAAAAAGAUGUUAAAGGAGGAUUAGCUGGCAAUAAAAGUGUUGUACGGCGUAUGGUAUUGGUCAAUGACCCAUUUGCAACAGGAGCUCAAAGAGUAAUCACUGGUGCUGCCGCCGCCUCCUCAGUUGUUAAGAAACCAGAGCAACAACAACAAGUUUUAAACUUAAAUUGUGACAAAAAUUAUCUACUUGUCGAUCAAACAGAUCAGUCUCAUUUAACGAACGGUAUUGUAGAUUCAAAAACACAAACCAUAUUAACGACAGCUGCAGCUGCUAAUAAAGCACAUUUUAGUCCGAUUGGCCCGAUACACUUGACGGCCGAGGAAUGUAAUGAAAUAUUAAUGAAACGUGCUUUGGCCGCCACACACCCACAAACUAUAACAUCAAAUGAUGGUCAUAAUACAACUACAAGUGACAUAUUGCCUGGCAUCUCAGUGCAAGUACAAAAAGUUAUACAAGGUCUAGAAGACAAUGAUGAUUCACAAGGUAAUGCGCCUAAUUUAAAAUUAGAACCUGGAACAUUGGAACUCUCACCGAAAGCAGAAUUACAAGAGACCAUGCAUUUUACAGAUGCCGAUGCCACCAUUAAAAAAGAACGCCCUUACAGUUGCGACGAGUGUGGCAAAUCAUUUUUGUUAAAACAUCAUUUAACUACUCAUGCUAGAGUACAUACAGGGGAACGGCCCCAUAUCUGUACACAUUGCGGUAAAAGUUUCGCCCACAAACACUGUCUAAAUACCCACUUGCUUCUACACUCCACCGAUCGCCCUUAUCAGUGCACCGAGUGCAAAAAGAGUUUUACUCUUAAACAUCAUUUGUUGACCCAUUCUAGGGUACAUUCACGUGAUCGACCCUUUAUUUGUCAGGAAUGUGGCCGUACAUUCCCGCUGAAACGUCACUUAGUGACACAUAGUAAAUAUCAUGCUGGCGAACGACCGUUUGUUUGUGACGAGUGUGGCGAAAGUUUUGCCCAAGAAAAUCAUCUCAUUAUGCAUUCACGUUUUCAUGGUUCUGUUAAUCCAUUCGUUUGUCAGGAUUGUGGUGUUACAUUUCCGCGUAAAUUUCAAUUGGUCAAUCAUGCUCGUAUUCACGGCAAAGUACCGCAUGCCUGUACAGUGUGCGGUAAAGAAUUUUUACAGAAAAGGACAUUAGUGGCACAUAUGCGUGUACAUACUGGUGAUCAACCAUAUCCUUGUAUAAGUUGCGGCGAAGGUUUUAUGACAAGACCGGAUUUAAAUCAACAUAUACGCACCACACAUGGUGGUGUCAAUCCGAAUUCUUCAAAUACCGCCGCAGUGCCGUCCAACAAUUUAAUUUCACAGCAGCAGCCAACACAAACAAUACAACAAGUACACCAAACACAAGCCCAUUCUACACAUCAGCAACAGCAGCAAGGGCAUCAAGUUCAAAAUAAUCAUCCACAAACUAUAACGGUGGUUAGCAAUCCAAACAAUUCGGCCUUGUUAACGGUCACCGCCAAUGAUGCCAAUAAUACGGCCAGACCACAAUUUGGUUGCCGGGAAUGCGGAAGUGCCUUUAAUAGUCGCGAAGCUUUAGCUCUCCACCUGCGUUUACAUACCGGUGAUAAAAGUCUUAUGACCGAUUUAUGUGCUUUAACCGCCGCCUUGCCUACACACUUACUAAGCACAACCGGUAUGAGUUCUGGCGCCACAGUUGUGGCAGCCAAUCCCAAUAUUAUAGCCCAAAACCAAAUGCCAGUUCAAAUCAUAUCAUCAACGGGUCAAGUUGUUUCACAGACAACACUGGUGCAGGCCGCCGCUACGACUCAUCCGCAGACACUUGUUCCCGGCAUGCCAUCGGUUGGUUUACAGCCACAACAGCAGCAGCAGCAACAUUUACAGAAUGGUGCAGCUCACCAGCAGCAUCAACAGCAGCAGCAACAACAACAGCAGCAACAACAACAGCAGCAGCAACAACCGCAGCAAUCGCAACAGACACCCACCAAACCCAAAUCACAUUUCUGUGCUAGUUGCGGCAAAGGUUUUGCCGCCAAACACGGUCUCAUGCAACACAAUCGUCGUCAUCCGAACGGCGGUUGUACGGUACGCACUCAUGUGUGCGAGUGUGGCAAAGCAUUCUUCCAAAAGAAUCACUUAAUGCUACAUCAGCGUCAACAUUUGGAAACGAAACCACCCAUUUCGCAGCAACAGGUGUGUUGAACCUCUCACUCACAAUCACUCUCUCAAAUCAAACUCUCUAAAAACAAUUGAGAAAUAAUCUUUAAAAAAAAGGUUGUAGUUGUGUGCAACGAUGGCAACAACCAACAACAGCAGCAGCAGCAACAACAACAACAGCAGCAGCAACAACAACAGCAACAUGUGCAACAACAGGCACAACAACAACUGGCCCAACAACAACAGCAACAAAAUCAGCAGCAGCAAAAUCAACAACAACAGCACCAGCAGCAACAACAACAACAAAUGACCACCAGAGAAGUAAUGAUUGGCAAUCAAGCUGUACACGUGCAAGUGUUGCAAGGUACCAAUACAGCACAAGUUAUUAAAUAUGAAAUUAACAUACCACAAGAGAAUCAAAAUAUUGAAUGAGCGAGAAAUGAGUCAAAUCCCCCUUUAAAGCAAAAGCAGAAAAGAAAGAAAGAUGAUGAAGGAAGUAUAAACUAACAAGAACUGAACAGUGGAGGAAAAGCCAGGACUAUUGCAAACACUUGAAACACACCGACACAGAGACCCCCUUAACACUUAGAGAGUGAGAAAAAAGUUUUAAUAUCUUUUAACCACAGCCGCAUUUAAAAACUCCGCAACAGUAAAUUAUCUUCUGGAAAAAAAGGUUUAUAAAGGGCAACAACAAGGUACCAAGUUGUAAUUUGGCUCAGGCUCCCUUAUUUCUCUCUUCUUUCUUUUUGUUGUAUUGAUUUCUUUGUUGUUCUCUUACAUUCUCUUUAAGCUUAUUGUUUUAUAAGCAUUAUUGUUGUUGUUUUUGUUUCUAUUUUUUAUUGUUUAUUUUUAUUUAAAAUAUUAUUUUUUUUAACAAUUAUUGACACAUUUUUUUUUUUAAGAAAAACCAAUUUAACCAUUUUUCUCUAGUUUUUACAUCCAUUUCCUUUUUUAAAUUGUUCUACAUAAAAACAAAAAAACAUAUUUUGUAAGAAAAGUAGUUGUAAAUUUAGGUUAAAAUUUUGUUUUUUUUUUUCAUAUUUUUUAAUUAUUAUUUUAUGAUUUUUUCAAUUAGUUUGUAUAUAGCAUAGUUAUAAAUACUAUUUUUUAAUUAUUAUUAAUAUUUGCAAUGGAAAAAAAGAUUUCAUCAGAAAAAAAAGGAGUAAAACACCACUAGAUAAAUGGAAAUUUAUAAGGAUUCAUUAUGGUUUUAAUAGUGGGGGGAGGGAAGAAAAGGAAUUUAAGAAAAUUUACUCUUUUUUUUUCCUUGUAUUAAGUGAGAGGAAAAAUUCUUCAUUUGUUUUAUGCCUUUAAAAAUGUUAGUUGUGGGAGUUGUUUUAGUUUUGUAAUAUUUUCUUAAAUCAUUAUUUAUACAUUUUUUUGUAUAUAUCAGUCAAUUGUUAUGGAAUUGUUUAUAAAUAAUUAUAACGCUAGUUUGCCUUGGAGUUCAAUGAUCGAAAAGUGGUCACUUUUGGAACUGGUUCUGUGGAGGUAUUUAUAUGUUCGAUAUAAGUUUUAAAGAACGAUUCUGAGUUCUCUUCUGGCAAAGGUUUUCAUUCGAAACUGUUACGAAAUUUGUUACCUUUGGAACUGAUUCGGCGGAAGUUUUAUCCUAUCAACGUUUUAUAGAACGUUAAUCGAAUUUUGUUCGAAAUUGUAACCUAAAGAACUAAUUAUAUGUGACUUUACGAUACAAUUCUAGAACUAAUUCUUCAAGUUUUGAGAAAAACGGGCGAGUUUUUAGCAUUAAUUUGUUGAAUGCAAGUUUCCUGUUGAGACUGACUUUAUGCUUGAAGUAGUCACCUUUGGAACUCUUUUAUGAAAGUUUUUAGUUCGAAUUUGCCAUGCUAAGAACUGGCUAUAAGUAAGUUUCAGGAACAGUUCUAAAAUUACGUCUUUAAGACUAAUGAAAACUGAAAACUUUACAAAAAUAUUAAUACCAGAACUAGUUCAUUUAUUAAAGAUUUUAGUAUGAAAUUGUCUCACUCAGAACCAAAUUUACAUAAUUUUAGCGAACAAUUCUAGAACUAGUUCUUUAAGAAAAACCUAAUUUUAUUUUGAAAACUUUCCGAAAAGUUUCUACAGAUUCUUGAAAACUUUAGGAACUGUUUCUGUAGAAUAGGUUACGGAACUAGUUCAUUUAACAAAAAUAUUCGUUCGAGAUUAUUACGUUCAGUACUAGCUCUAGUAAGGUUAAAGUAAAGAUUCUAGAACUAGUUCUUUAAGCAAAAUUAACACUAAAAUUUUGUUUUCACAAACUACGGAUCUUUCCCUAUAGAAGAGAAUCUUGAACUAGUUCCUUUAUAUAAGGUAUUCGUUCGAAAUGAUCACGCUCAGAACUAGCUAUAGUAAAGUUUUAGUAAAGAUACAAGAACUAGUUCUUUAAGCAAAAUUAAAAUUAAGAAAUUGUUUGACAACUUUGUAGAACUUUUUCUUUAGAUUAUAUUCUAGAACUAGUUCUUUUAUCUAAGAUAUUCGUUCGAAAUUAUCACGCUCAGAACUAGCUCUAGUAAAGAUACAAGAACUAUUUCAUUAAGAAAAAUUAAAAUUAAAACUUUUUUUGGAAACUUUAAAAACAAUUUCUAUAGAAUAAAAUCUAGAACUAUAGUUCCUUUAUCAAAAAUAUUCUUCAGAAAUUGUUUCACUCAAAUCUAGUUUUAGGAAUAAUUCUAGAACUAGUCCUUUAAGCAAAAUUAAGUUUUUUUUUAGAACUAGUUCCUUUAAAGAAGAUUUCUAUUAGAAAUUGUCAUGAUAAGAACUAGCUUUAGAAAUAAUUCUAGAACUAGUUCUUUAAACAAUAUUAAAACUUAAAAGUUAUUUUGAAAUUUUAGCAAACAUUGCUAUGUUAAGCAAGUGUCAAAGAACUAGUUCUUAGAAAACUCUUUAGAGAUUUCUUUGAACCAUAGCAAAGCUACGGAUUACGAGUUUUAGAUGGAAAUAAUGACAACACUAGUUCAAUGAUAGCCUAAUAAAAAUCUAAAGUUGUUCUUUUACUAGAACUGGUUAUAUAAGAACGAAUUCUUAAACGGAUCUUGAGGGAUUAUGAAGAUAUUCUUUAUAUUCCAGAAAUAAUAGUAUCAAUUCCACAACUAGUCCUAGAACUCAAGGUUGUAGACUGUAAAAACGUUCUAUUUGGGAGUUGAGACCAAUGUUCGAAAUGGUUAAUUUUGGAGUCGAUACCCAUUAAGCUAUUGUUAAGAAACAAGUUUAUUAGAAUCAUAACAAAGAUCUGGAAAACUUGUUCUAAAAGUUUUGAUGAAAACUCUAGUUUCCGGAUUGUCAAUUAGGAAUCUUAUGUGGUUCCGUUUACACUUAUUCCCUAAUUAGUUGUUAUAGAAUGUUUUCUUAAAAGAAUCCUGGCUGGUUAUAACAUCAUUUCCACAACUAGUCCUAGAACUCGUGGCUA